CGGAUUAGCUAGUUGGUGAGGUAAUGGCUCACCAAGGCCGCGAUCCGUAGCUGGUCUGAGAGGAUGAUCAGCCACAUCGGGACUUGAGCACGGCCCGAACUCCUACGGGAGGCAGCAGUGGGGAAUAUUGGACAAUGGGCGAAAGCCUGAUCCAGCCAUGCCGCGUGUGUGAAGAAGGCCUUCGGGUUGUAAAGCACUUUCAGCGAGGAAGAACGCUUGUGGGUUAAUACCCCGCAAGAAAGACAUCACUCGCAGAAGAAGCACCGGCUAACUCCGUGCCAGCAGCCGCGGUAAUACGGAGGGUGCAAGCGUUAAUCGGAAUUACUGGGCGUAAAGCGCGCGUAGGCGGCUUGAUAAGCCGGUUGUGAAAGCCCCGGGCUCAACCUGGGAACGGCAUCCGGAACUGUCAGGCUAGAGUGCAGGAGAGGAAGGUAGAAUUCCCGGUGUAGCGGUGAAAUGCGUAGAGAUCGGGAGGAAUACCAGUGGCGAAGGCGGCCUUCUGGACUGACACUGACGCUGAGGUGCGAAAGCGUGGGUAGCAAACAGGAUUAGAUACCCUGGUAGUCCACGCCGUAAACGAUGUCGACUAGCCGUUGGGGUCCUCGAGACCUUUGUGGCGCAGUUAACGCGAUAAGUCGACCGCCUGGGGAGUACGGCCGCAAGGUUAAAACUCAAAUGAAUUGACGGGGGCCCGCACAAGCGGUGGAGCAUGUGGUUUAAUUCGAUGCAACGCGAAGAACCUUACCUACUCUUGACAUCGAGCGAACUUUCCAGAGAUGGAUUGGUGCCUUCGGGAACGCUCAGACAGGUGCUGCAUGGCCGUCGUCAGCUCGUGUUGUGAAAUGUUGGGUUAAGUCCCGUAACGAGCGCAACCCUUGUCCCUAUUUGCCAGCGAUUCGGUCGGGAACUCUAGGGAGACUGCCGGUGACAAACCGGAGGAAGGUGGGGACGACGUCAGGUCAUCAUGGCCCUUACGAGUAGAAGCUACACACGUGCUACAAUGGCCGGUACAAUGGGCUGCAAUCCCGCGAGGGGGAGCUAAUCUCAUAAAGCCGGUCUCAGUCCGGAUCGGAGUCUGCAACUCGACUCCGUGAAGUCGGAAUCGCUAGUAAUCGC
rnacentral:rRNA from 1 species